rnacentral:rRNA from 1 species
CACUUCCCAUCAGCUAGCCCACCCCACCAAAAACAACAAACAACAUUAAUAACCCCAAAAACCCCACCCAAAAAACAACAAACCAUUUUUCCCCCUUAGUAUGGGCGACAGAAAAGGACACUUGGAGCCAUAGAAUAAGUACCGCAAGGGAAAGCUGAAAAAGAAAUGAAAGAACUCAGUAAAGAACUAAAAAGCAGAGACAAACUCUCGUACCUUUUGCAUCAUGACUUAGCCAGUACCCCUCGGGCAAAGCGCCCUAUAGUCCGAGACCCCGAAACUAAACGAGCUACUCCAAGACAGCCUAUUUAGGGCGAACCCGUCUCUGUCGCAAAAGAGUGGGAAGAUCUUCGAGUAGAGGUGACAAACCUACCGAGUUUAGUUAUAGCUGGUUGCCUACAAAACGAAUAGAAGUUCCGCCUUUAAUCUUUUUCCCUCAAUAUAGCUUAUGCACAAUACUGACCCAAAGAAGCUUAAAGAGUCAUUCAAAGGGGGUACAGCUCCUUUGAAAAAAGACACAACUUUAUUUAGAAGGCUAAAGAUCACAAGCAUUAGAGGAAACACACCUUAGUGGGCCUAAAAGCAGCCAUCUAUGCAAAAAGCGUUAAAGCUUAAGUACCCCGCCUUUCCCUAAUUUUGACAAUACAAUCUUAAACCCCUAAAUAUACUAGUAGGCCUUUUCAUGCAAACAUGAAAGAGAUAAUGCUAACAUGAGUAAUAAGAGGACUGAUCCUCUCCUAACGCCUGUAUACACCAGAACGAACCCCCACUGAAAAUUAACGCCCCCAAACUUAGAGGGCCUUGAGGAAACCCCUAAUAAUCUAGAAAACCCCUCAAAAAAUAGCGUUAACCCCACACAGGUGCGUCCAAGGAAAGACUAAAAGAAAAAGAAGGAACUCGGCAAACACAGGCCCCGCCUGUUUACCAAAAACACCGCCUCUUGCACCCCAAACGUAUAAGAGGUCCCGCCUGCCCUGUGACUAACAAGUUUAACGGCCGCGGUAUUCUGACCGGUGCGAAGGUAGCGCAAUCACUUGUCUCUUAAAUAGAGACUGGUAUGAAUGGCAUAACGAGGGCUAAACUGUCUCCUUUUUCCAGUCAAUGAAAUUGAUCUUCCCGUGCAGAAGCGGGAAUAAUAACAUAAGACGAGAAGACCCUAUGGAGCUUAAGACGAAAGGCAGCCCUUGUAAAAUACCUGGAUCAACAGAACUUAACCAAAAGGCCCCUGCCCUCUUGUCUUUGGUUGGGGCGACCACGGGGUAACAAAAAACCCCCGCGCGGAAUAGGAGGCUCCCUCCUUAAAGCUAGAGCCACAGCUCUAACAAGCAGAACAUCUGACCUUUAAGAUCCGGCAAAGCCGAUCAACGGACCAAGUUACCCUAGGGAUAACAGCGCAAUCCCCUUUUAGAGUCCAUAUCGACAAGGGGGUUUACGACCUCGAUGUUGGAUCAGGACAUCCUAAUGGUGCAGCCGCUAUUAAGGGUUCGUUUGUUCAACGAUUAAAGUCCUACGUGAUCUGAGUUCAGACCGGAGAAAUCCAGGUCAGUUUCUAUCUAUGAUUGCUCUUUUCUAGUACGAAAGGACCGAAAAGAGGGGGCCCAUGCUAUAAGCAAGCCCCACCUUUACCUAAUGAAGUUAACUUAACUAGGUAAAAAGGCACACAACCCUGCCUGAGAAAAAGGUAAA